rnacentral:rRNA from 1 species
GAUGAACGCUGGCGGCGUGCCUAACACAUGCAAGUCGAACGAAGCUUGACGAACGAUUCUUCGGAUGAAUUCUGAUAUGACUGAGUGGCGGACGGGUGAGUAACGCGUGAGCAACCUGCCCUUCAGAGGGGGAUAGUGUCUGGAAACGGACAGUAAUACCGCAUAAUGUACAUUGAUGGCAUCGAGCAGAGGGAAAAGGAGCAAUCCGCUUUGAGAUGGCCUCGCGUCCGAUUAGCUAGUUGGUGAGGUAACGGCCCACCAAGGCGACGAUCGGUAGCCGGACUGAGAGGUUNAACGGGCCACAUUGGGACUGAGACACGGCCCAGACUCCUACGGGAGGCAGCAGUGGAGAAGUAUUGCACAAUGGGGGGAACCCUGAUGCAGC